UAGGCGAAGACGCAUAGAUAUGUAUGGUGCGGUGGCAAGGGCGAGCUUUUGGCGUUAUCCUAACUGAAGUUUUAUCAGACGAAGAAGCAAAAGCGUGUAUUCUCACUGGUUAACCCGGGGUGCCACACAGAACAAGCAUAUUCAACAACAGAGCUCGUUAAACUUUGAUACCCCUGUACAAGAUCUGAUGGAGGCAGUUUGGCAUGUUUAAGUUGACGCAAGUGAGACUUGGACCUGAGGCGCAAGCUGUUGUCGGCUUAGCAUGAAGAUCAUUUUGUAAGAUAGAAGCCCACCGAGAUACAGCCCAACACAAGACCGCAGGCAGCCUAGGAUAGUGUUGUGGAACUCUACACCCCUUUCUGGAUUUAUUAUAUUAAAACUGGAUGAAGAUAUUUUCUGUGGUUUUUCACUUUGAUAUGAAGUUAUUAUGAUAAUGAUAUUGAUUUAGAUAAAGGGAAAGAAUUGUUUAUAUAAAUAUGAUAACUCUAUCGCUUUAAAAUCUGCAAGCAUUACCUUUGCGAUUGGCGAUGGUACCUGAAGAUCUUUUUAAAAAUUAUUUAAAGAAUUUGAAUGGUUUGAAACCUUUGUAAACAUUUUCAGUGUUUUGUUAACCAUAGUAUUUGAAAAUUUAAGAUGAAAAAAUAUAUCUUAAAGAUUUUCCACCAGGCCAUAUCUACAAAUUGUAAAACUUGUAAAUACAGUCUUUUGAUAUUUUGUUUCAAGACUAAUUAUAU